rnacentral:misc_RNA from 1 species
CCGUCGCACGCCUGCUCGCACGCGACCGUGUCGCUCGCCCGGGCGUCACGGGGGCGGUCGCCUCGGCCCCCGCGCGGUCGCCCGAACGACCGUGUGGUGGUUGGGGGGGGGAUCGUCUUCUCCUCCGUCUCCCGAGGACGGUUCGUUUCUCUUUCCCCUUCCGUCGCUCUCCUUGGGUGUGGGAGCCUCGUGCCGUCGCGACCGCGGCCCGCCGUCGCCUGCCGCCGCAGCCCCUUGCCCUCCGGCCUUGGCCAAGCCGGAGGGCGGAGGAGGGGGCUCGGCGGCGGCGGCGGUGACCGCGGCGCGGUGACGCACGGUGGGGGUCCCAUCCUCGGCGCGUCCAUCGGGGACGGCCGGUUGGAGGGGCGGAAGGGCUUUUUCCCGUAAACGCCGCGUUCGGCGCCAGGCCUCUGGCGGCCGGGGGGGCGCUCUCUCCGCCCGAGCAUCCCGACUCCCGCCCCUCCUCUUCGCGCGCCGCGGCGGCGACGUGCGUACGAGGGGAGGGUGUCGCGGUGUGGAGGCGGAGAGGGUCCGGCGCGGCGCCUCUUCCA